CCCGGCAGCUGAUUUGGGCUGAGAUUUGAUGUGAACUCGAUGAACAUCCCGAUAACUGAUUAGGGAUGCUCUCCCCCCAAAAAGGGGCUGAGGCCGGGGCCGAGGCCCGAGGAAAGGUGAGACUUAAACUCGUGUGCUGACUUAAGAAUGCAGGGAGAAAAGUACAAUACGGUUGUAGACUAAUGGAGUGCAGAAGACCAGAAGGAGAGAAGCUGGCAGGAGUAAUCAAAUUUGAUAGAGGGGUUUUCAUGAGAUCAUGAUGCACAGCUGAAGAAUGAAGGCCUGCUCAGAGAAGGGGCCGAAAUAAUACGAGGCAUGAGAGUGAAAGACAGGGAAGGUGUGGAGCCAGGCUGGGGAUAGGAUCAGCUAGAUGACACCAACUGGAGAAUGAUGGGGGAUAGGUGCCCACUGUAAGCGAGCCAACACUGAAAAGUACGAGGGAAAAAGAAAAACAACUGAGACAUGGGCCAGCAGCAGGGGCAGAGAACGCUGGGACAUGGGCCAGCAGCAGGGGCAGAGGAAAAGCCAAAAAACAGAAAAAGAGUUAGCAAUGGAGAGAGAAGGAAAAGUCAAGAGGGGAAGUAAUCAGUGAGAUGAUAAAGAGACACAAGACUUAGGAUGCGGUAGAAGGAGUGUGCUUGUGAUGUGACGUGUAGGUGGGAGCAUGGAGGCGUGAGAAGGAAAAAGGGACGAAUCACUGGAUAAGAAUGCUUGCUUAGGCAAGAAAAGACCAACCACCACCAGCGAAAUGCGCAGUGCUCACCUAGGCACUGAGGGAGCCCUCGCUAAUAAAUUACAGAGCGAGACCUGAGAUUAAACAUGAAAUGAGCGAUGCCGUCUAACGGCUGAACUGAACUGGGCAGAGGUGGGGACAGCUCAUCAACAAUAGUCAUAAUGAUCAUGGGUGAAAACGGAUAAGAUUAAAGUCGGUUGAUGACAUGAAACGGACUGGUGAAGGUUCAGCUUUAUAGUAACACACGACUGAUGAGAGCGACAAUUAGGGAUUGCUUGCGGAGUUAGCCCCUCAGGAAACGGGUUAUGGCUGUGGAACAAUUCCGUAAAAAGCUGGAAACUCGAGCUGCUGAAAUGAAGGUGAAGCUGAACCAACUACAUAGGAGAUCCCCCCCAAAAAAGGGCCAUGCCCGACGGACUGAAUUUAAAAUGAAAAAUAGAAAGAAAAUACCAUCUUAACUCAUCAAAAAGCUUUGACGUGUAGAGAUGUGCCACUCGAAUGAACUCCACUGGACCUGGCAAUGGGGUUGGGAGUUUAGACUAGAAUGGCUGUGAGCUUUAGGAUACCUGCAAGAGCUGGUUGCCGUAGUGACAGACCCACAAGAAUGACUGGUAAGAGUCUAAAGGCUAUUGGCCCAGAAGUGAGACUGGAAUGAGCACAUUUGAGUGUGGGACCGGGGUAAGUGAGAGAACCGACUACAUAGCCUGAAAGUGGCAGGAUGGCCUGGGAAAUAAUCUGCCGAUUCUGGGAGAUCUUGAGAUAAGAACUGAGAAGCGACCCAUGGGACUUGAACAGGACACAUCAGAAUAUGGAACAGCUUGGUUGAUAGCGGCGAAGCAAGUAGACCAGGAAUAUCCAGAGUUCAGCUAAGAAAAACCUAAAACUUAAGCUACGAAAAGGAUCAUCUGCUGGAAUAGUGACUGCCAGACCAUUUAAAUCCUCCGGAUUGUUCUGAACUGAGCUAUCGGAAUGAAAUAUGAAUCAACGACUAUACAUUGCGCAUGUGGAAAAAUCCUAUAAAUCAAAUGCUUUAAAAAAAAACCCACGUCUUACAUUGAGACUAAACCAGUUCUAUUUAAGGUUGCUUUGAUAAGUAGUGAAUGGACACGAGCAAAAUUUUUUUUUUUUAAGAAACAAUGAUUGGACAAUGCCCUCGUCAACAAGAAUUUAAGGCCGAUUAAUAAUUAGCAGAAGCGCUGGACAGACUCAACCGAACUGAAGAGGAAUUAGUUGACUUCAUGUUACGUUGGCAAGCCACUCUACUACACGUAUUGCGUCGCAACAGGGUAAAAGUCCACAAUUAGGUGAAUGACAAUUUAUGCCUCAUGUAUGAGAAGGCAAGCCGAGACGCGAACCCCUGCUCCAGACGAGAUUAGCUGAUUGAAUUGACUGUUUAGGUCAUGAUAAGGAGUAAAUUUAAAAUAUGCUAAUUUUAAAAACUUGCCAUGUCUUUAUUGGAAAGCCUAAUUACAGUUCUCAGAUUAAUAACUUAUUCUGUCCUGUUAACCUUAUGUUACCUGUAGAUAAAGUAGAUUGUUUGCCAAGAUCUGUUGAACUGCCCUUGUGUGGGAAACCAUCAGGAGAAGUUCCAGCUUUCACACAAUCUGUGAAAAGCCUUGAAACAGCAGGAGUCCAGGCCAGUAGAUGAGAAGCUCUGCUUCCACUUGUUUAGAUAAAGGUGACCAUUUGAGCUUGAUCUUGAAAACAAAUUGCAGGGAGUGUCUAACUCUAAAGAGGAUCAGAGACAACUCCUGGUUGGAUGAGCAAAGCUACGCCUUAUUUGAAUAAAUAAAAGUCUAGAAUACACCUUUACUAUAAAACUUUGUACACAGCAGUAACUACUCAGAUUUGCUCUUGUAAUUCUCCAAAGACGUCCAAGCACGUCUUUGCUUCUUUCUUCCUUCUUUCCAUUCGACUCAGGUAAAUUAAUGCAUGUCUCUGUUCUGCCGUUCUGUUGCAAUUUCAUGUGCGUCUUCUUUGGAUUAAACUAAUUCUGAGAUGUCUACACUCGUUUUCUGUGUGAUUUAACUCGGCCCGCCGGGAGAACCUGGGAUCCGUGAGAAGAAGAUGGAGCCAGAGAUAUUCCAAAAUUACAACAGAAUGAAUCUACGUAGCUGAACACACACGACGACAAUGGUCACGGGCAUCUUGUUAACAAGCUUAAGGGGUUGUAUUGAAAUUAGUCAUAACUAAGCUAACAUCACCUGCAUCCAGCGGCAUUACUCUACUCGGUCGGUUAAAUUACGCAAAGAAUUGGCGUUAUACUAGCGGCUCCUACGCCGUUGGCGACUGGUGUGAACGUCUCCGGGCUCAAGUUACGUUUGAAGGCGGUUUGAAAUAGAUUAUGAUAUGUUAACAGCACAUAAAAACUGUUUUAAUUGCAGAACAAGGUUGCAGAGGACGCGAUAAGGGAGAUGGAGGAAACUCCGGUACCAAAUCGAUGCAGGAAUAUCAAAGAGUUGGCCAUGUAGGUAAAACACGGGGCUUGCAGAACAGCCGGGACACAACUGAAGUGACCGCCCGCGCUGCCGGGCCUGGGUAGCAUAAAUUAUAAUACAGCUCAGACGACAAAGAAUACUGCACUGACUAGCGACGAAUAACUAAUGUGAAGCAGAUAGAUAACUGCGGUGACCAAACGACCCGUUAAUGAUGGGCUGCACUGCUCGCAGUUGAGUGCACAUGCAUCUGCUAUUUAUA